GUCUAAAGAAAUUUAAUAAGGCUUUGAGCAAAUCCUCUAGACAAACUAUUGUUUGUUCAUUUUUUUUCUUCUUUGCAACCUGGUUAGUACUUGGAUGGGAGACCGCCUGGGAAUACCAGGCGCUGUAGGCU
rnacentral:rRNA from 1 species